CAGAAAGUAGUUUAAUUAAAAUUUUAAUUUUGGAGAUUAAAGAUAGGAGAAUUUUUUUUUCUGA
rnacentral:tRNA from 1 species